GAUGAACGCUGGCGGCGUGCCUAAUACAUGCAAGUCGAGCGAACGGACGAGAAGCUUGCUUCUCUGAUGUUAGCGGCGGACGGGUGAGUAACACGUGGAUAACCUACCUAUAAGACUGGGAUAACUUCGGGAAACCGGAGCUAAUACCGGAUGAUAUUUUGAACCGCAUGGUUCAAAAGUGAAAGACGGUCUUGCUGUCACUUAUAGAUGGAUCCGCGCUGCAUUAGCUAGUUGGUAAGGUAACGGCUUACCAAGGCAACGUUGCAUAGCCGACCUGAGAGGGGGAUAGGCAACACUGGACCUGAGACACGGUCCAGACUCCUACGGGAGGCAGCAGUAGGGAAUCUUCCGCAAAGGGCGAAAGCCUGACGGAGCAACGCCGCGUGAGUGAUGAAGGUUUUCGGAUCGUAAAACUCUGUUAUUAGGGAAGAACAUAUGUGUAAGUAACUGUGCACAUCGUGACGGUACCUAAUCAGAAAGCCACGGCUAACUACGUG
rnacentral:rRNA from 1 species